rnacentral:rRNA from 1 species
GGUGACCAGCGGAGGGAUCAUUACCGAGUUUACAACUCCCAAACCCCUGUGAACAUACCUUAAUGUUGCCUCGGCGGAUCAGCCCGCGCCCCGUAAAACGGGACGGCCCGCCAGAGGACCCAAACUCUAAUGUUUCUUAUUGUAACUUCUGAGUAAAACAAACAAAUAAAUCAAAACUUUCAACAACGGAUCUCUUGGUUCUGGCAUCGAUGAAGAACGCAGCAAAAUGCGAUAAGUAAUGUGAAUUGCAGAAUUCAGUGAAUCAUCGAAUCUUUGAACGCACAUUGCGCCCGCUGGUAUUCCGGCGGGCAUGCCUGUUCGAGCGUCAUUUCAACCCUCAAGCCCCCGGGUUUGGUGUUGGGGAUCGGCUCUGCCCUUCUGGGCGGCGCCGCCCCCGAAAUACAUUGGCGGUCUCGCUGCAGCCUCCAUUGCGUAGUAGCUAACACCUCGCAACUGGAACGCGGCGCGGCCAUGCCGUAAAACCCCAACUUCUGAAUGUUGACCUCGGAUCAGGUAGGAAUACCCGCUGAACUUAAGCAUAUCAAUAAGCGGAGGAAAAGAAACCAACAGGGAUUGCCCUAGUAACGGCGAGUGAAGCGGCAACAGCUCAAAUUUGAAAUCUGGCUUUCGGGCCCGAGUUGUAAUUUGUAGAGGAUACUUUUGAUGCGGUGCCUUCCGAGUUCCCUGGAACGGGACGCCAUAGAGGGUGAGAGCCCCGUCUGGUUGGAUGCCAAAUCUCUGUAAAGUUCCUUCGACGAGUCGAGUAGUUUGGGAAUGCUGCUCUAAAUGGGAGGUAUAUGUCUUCUAAAGCUAAAUAUUGGCCAGAGACCGAUAGCGCACAAGUAGAGUGAUCGAAAGAUGAAAAGCACUUUGAAAAGAGAGUUAAAAAGUACGUGAAAUUGUUGAAAGGGAAGCGUUUAUGACCAGACUUGGACUUGGUUAAUCAUCUGGGGUUCUCCCCAGUGCACUUUUCCAGUUCAGGCCAGCAUCAGUUUUCGCCGGGGGAUAAAGGCAGCGGGAAUGUGGCUCUCUUCGGGGAGUGUUAUAAGCCCGUUGUGUAAUACCCUGGUGGGGACUGAGGUUCGCGC